UACAGAGGUCCCAAGCGUUGUUCGGAUUCACUGGGCGUAAAGGGUGUGUAGGCGGACUUUUAAGUCCGUGGUGAAAUCUCCGGGCUCAACCCGGAAACUGCCAUGGAUACUAUUGGUCUUGAAUAUUGUUGAGGUGGGCGGAACGGGUCAUGUAGCGGUGAAAUGCAUAGAUAUGACCCGGAACACCGAUUGCGAAGGCAGCCCACUAAGCAAUGAUUGACGCUGAGGCACGAAAGCGUGGGGAUCAAACAGG
rnacentral:rRNA from 1 species